rfam:Oryza sativa (indica cultivar-group) chromosome 3, whole genome shotgun sequence.
AAACCCUAGAUUUUCGUGUCUAACGUUUGACUGUCCGUCUUAUAUGAAAAAUUUUUAUAAUUAGUAUUUUCAUUGUUGUUAUAUGAUAAAAUAUGAUUAAUACUUUAUACGUGACUUAUCUUUUUAAUUUUUUUCAUAAUUUUUUCAAAUAAUAUAAUCAAACAUUGGACAUGAAAACUCAUGGUUUGUCUUUUU